GAUGAUGUAGUUUAAUGGUAGAGCUUGGGAAUCAUAAUCCUAAUGUUGUAGGUUCAAAUCCUACCAUCAUUA
rnacentral:tRNA from 2 species